rnacentral:SRP_RNA from 1 species
UUCAGGCCUUCCCGCAACGAUUACCCGUAAACCUGGUCAGGCCCGGAAGGGAGCAGCCACAGCGGGAACAUCGUGUGCCGGGGUGUGGCUGGUGGGG